GGGGACUUGGUCUAGGGGUAUGAUUUCCCCUUCGCAUGGCCUGAUUAGGCCGUAAAUGUGUGGGGAAGGUCGGGGGUUCAAUUCCCCCAGUCUCCA